rnacentral:lncRNA from 1 species
AGUCAGAAUAAGGAGCUGGGGGCCAGUCUGGUGGCACAGCGGUUAAGUUCGCACGUUCCGCUUCAGCGGCCUGGGGUUCGCAGGUUCGGAUCCCUAUUGCGGACAUUGGCAAAAGCCAUGCUGUGAUGGAGAAAUUCAGCCACGGGAAAAAACCCUGCCUAACAUCAUACACCUGGUGACACAGCACAGAUUCAAGCUAACAGAGAAUCAGACUGGACAGCCAUCCUUCUCACAUUUACCAUUGCAAAACUGUAACUAUCAAUCAUAACUUGCCUUGAAAACCACUAGGCUGCAGUCACAGUGAAGACCAGCAAAGUGGCAGCCAACACAGUGGCAGAACAGUGUUGGAGCUCUUCCAAAGCUCCAUUUCCAGAGAACUGUCAGCAUUUGACCUGUCUGGUGAUCCCCUAGAAGACCUCACUUGCAAAACCGUUUUUAUUUGACCUCACUCGGAGCUCAUCCAAUAUGAAAAGCCUUUCUCCUGGGGAUUUCUUAUCCCAUUUGCCUUUGAGAAGAAAAACAAAAAUCUCUUAACCAAAGCUUAAAAUUUCAUCCGAAAACGGGAAGGAGAGAAAAUAUUUUAUUUCGAUUCUUUGUGUGAAACUAACAGUUUCCGUGUCAUGAGAAGGCUGCCAAUUCUCCAGUACGUAAAGAUGCCCUAUACUAUGAAGGGUUGCCAUUUAAAGAACAACCAGGAAGCAAUUCAAUGAACAGGAAUUGUUAAGGAUAGGCUUCUUGCUGCAUUCCAAUCGUGUUCUUUUCAAAACCUGGCUUUAUGGAUUUUAAAGAAAUCCUGAGGGGGCACUCUUUUCCUUUUGUCCCGCUGAAAUAUCAUCAUUAAACUCCUCUAAAAAUGGUUUCUGAUAUGAUUCUGCUUUCCAGCUGAGGCAACAUUUUCUAUAAGUAAUAACAAAACAGCUGAACUGAGUAAAAGCAAACUGGGCAGAGAGGAAUAUCAAUCCUGAUGGGACCAAAGGGAGACCUCUGUUAACUUCUGAAGUA